rnacentral:misc_RNA from 1 species
UUAUUGUUCUAGACGAUGUUUGGAAUGAAAAUUAUUUUGAGUGGGAAAGAUUAAGGACUCCAUUCAAUGUUGCCGCAGGAGGGAGUAAGAUCAUUGUCACAACACGCAAUGAAAGUGUUGCAUCAGUUGUGCGUACUAGUCCAAUAAAUUAUUUAAAUGUUUUAUCAGAUGAUGAUUGUUGGUUGUUAUUUGCUAGACAUGCAUUUGUUAAUGGAGAUUCCAGAGCACAAUCUACUCCAGAAACAUUGCGCAGAGAAAUCACAAAAAGGUGCUAAGGCCUACCUUUAGCCGCAAAAGCACUGGGUGGUCUUCUGCGCUUCAGAUCAACUCCAAAGGAAUGGGAUGAGAUAUUGACGAGUGACAUAUGGGAAUUUUCAGAUUUCAUCAUUCCAGCACUUAGAAUAAGCUACUUUCAUCUGCCCUCACACUUAGAACAAUGUUUUGCCUAUUGUUCAAUGUUCCCAAAAGACUAUGAAUUUAAGAAGGAACAAUUGAUACAGUUGUGGAUAGCAGAAAAUUUUUUGCAUCAGCAUGACAAAAGCAAAAGCAUGGAAGAAAUAGGUGAAGUGUCUUUCCGUGCUCUUGUAUCGAGGUCUCUUUUCCAGCGAUCAAGUGGUAACAAAUUAAGCUAUGUUAUGCAUGAUCUUGUUCAUGACCUAGCUAAAUUUGUAUCCGGAGAAUUUUGUUUUUGGCUUGAAGCCAACAACUCACACAACAUCACAGGAAAAACUCGUCAUCUGGGAUAUUUACAAUCUCAGGACGCAUUUCAGAAGUUGGAAGGUAUUUAUGAAGCUAAGAGUUUACGCACUUUCCUACCAUUAAAUUUGAAUCUGUCUCGACGGUCUGCACUGUACUUCUCACUCUUAUCCAAAAAGGUACUUCACAAGCUGUUACCAAUGUUAACAUGCUUACGGGUGCUAUCAUUGUCUCGGUAUUGUUAUAUUACUGAAUUGCCUGAUUCGAUUGGUAAUCUGAAAUACUUGCGCCUUUUGGACCUCUCCUUUACAGGAAUCAAGUGGUUACUCAACUCUACAUGUACGCUUUACAAUUUACAGAGGUUGGCAUUAACAGAUUGUAAAGAUUUGAUUGAGUUGCCUGCAAAUAUGCAUAAGCUCAGAAAUUUGUCUCAUCUUGAUCUUGGUGGAACUAACAUAAAAGAGAUUCCAGUGCAUAUGAGCAAAUUAAAACGUCUUCAAACACUGACUCUUUUUUCUGUUGGAAGGCAGAGGGGGACAGGAAUUGGAGAGUUGAGGCAACUUAAUGAUCUUCAUGGAAAGCUUUCAAUCUUGGAACUGCAGAAUGUGAACGGUCGGGAAGAUGCUUUGGAGGCAAGACUGAAGGAAAAGAAUCAACUUGAGGGAUUAUGGUUGGAGUGGAGUAUCAAUUCUGGUGAUUCGCGAAAAGAAAGAGAAGUUCUAGAAAAGCUCCAACCUCAUACUAACUUGAAAGAGCUCACGAUCAAAAACUAUGGUGGUACUGCAUUUCCAUUUUGGUUAGUAGAACCAUCAUCAUUGUCUAAUAUUGUUUGCCUUUAUCUUAGCAAUUGCAAAUAUUGCAUCUCCUUGCCUCCGCUGGGGCAGUUACAUUCUCUCAAGGACCUUUCUAUUACGGGAUUUUAAGCUGUAGAGACAGUAGGUCCUGAGUUUUAUGGUAGUGGUGGUCUUGCAACAAAGCCAUUUGAGUCGCUUCAAACUUUAAGGUUCAAGGAGAUGGUGGAGUGGGAGGAAUGGUUUCCAUUUGAAAACGAUAUUGAGGGUAGGGCUUUCCCUUGUCUUCAAGAGCUUUAUGUAGAGAAUUGUCCCAAGCUAACUAAGCACCUUCCCAGCACCUUCCUUCUUUAACCAAACUUGUUGUCAGUGAAUGCCAAGAGCUAGUGGCUUCUCUUCCCAGGGCUCCAGAUAUCCUUCAUUUGCAAUUGGGAUAUUGUGAUAAAUUCCUGUUGAAGAACCUGCCACCCCAGCUGAAGAUGAUAAGUUUUGAGGGUUGGUCCCUAUCCGAGAGAAUUGAAGAGGUUGAUGCAAGUCUUAAAAUUUUGAACAUCUAUGAUUGUUUGUCUCUCAGUUGGCUACCUAUGGACCAUUUAUCCACUACCUUGGAAGCACUUGAGAUCAAGAGCAGUGAUAACUUAAAGUUCCCAGUGCACCUGCACUAUGACUCCCUUGAAAAGCGGUUAAUUGAGAGCAGCUGCUGUUCACUCCAGAAUUUUCCUCUGGACAUCUUCCCAAAUCUCAAGCAUCUGACCAUCAAGAACUGCACGAGUAUGGAAUCAAUAUCAGUUCCCUGCAGACCUCAAUAUGAUCUCCAAUCUCUGAGGCACCUGCAUAUCUUUGGAUGUCCUAAAUUUGUAUCAUUUCCAGGAGGAUUGCAUGCCCCCAACCUUUCUUAUUUUCGAAUUGACCUUUGUAAACAUCUAAAGUCACUGCCUGAAAGGAUGCACGCUCACAUUCCAUCACUAGAAGUACUGACCAUAAGUAGUUGUCCUGAAAUCGUAUCAUUUCCGAAAGGUGGCUUGCCUUCAAAUUUGAGAAGCCUCUGCAUCUAUGGAUGUGCCAGACUCUAUGCCAACCGAGCAGAAUGGCAUUUGCAGAGACUCACCUGCCUCGGAGAUUUCUGCAUUUCGUGUGAAGAUAUCAAAUCCCUUCCAGAGGAGGGGCUGCUGCCUAGCACUCUUGCCACUCUCCGCUUUGCAGGGUGUCCGCAUCUGAAAUCACUCAACAGAAAGGGGCUUAAUGAACUAACAAAUCUGGAAAUAUUAUUAAUUGAUGAUUGUCCUGAGCUAGAAUGCUUGCCAGAGGAGGGCCUGCCAAAAUAUCUCUCUCAUUUCCGAAUUUCAGAAUGUCCAUUGCUAAAAAAGCGGUGCAAAGAUGAAAGAGGAGAGGAUGGCCCAAGAUAUCUCACGUUCCCUGCAUACGCAUUGAUGAUGAUAUAGUUCCAUGACCUUUAAGUUUCUUCAAGCCACCAUUGUUAUGCUUCUACUGUUUUACCCUCAGGUAUGUGCCAGCGUUCAAUUCACCAUACUCUCCAUUGACAAUGCGCUUCAAAAGGAUUUCAUUCCUUUAUCAAGUGCUUGGUCUAGACUCAUCAAAGUUAUUAUCAUUUUGGUUGUUGGUUCUAACUUAUUUCCAGCUUCGUUGGGCCAAGGCAAAGAACAAAUUUCCAGUUUCGACAGGCUAACGCACAAAAACUGCCUAGACUCAAAAUGAUUGUUGUGCUAGAUGACAGUAGAAAUUGCAAGUUUUAAGAACACGAUGAAAUUGAGCAACAAAUUCCCAAAUAAACUUUAAUGUGCUGAGGCUAGCAUGUCCGUGGAAGGAAAGAUGCUAGAUAUCUAACCUGAGUUGCGUAUUUCGGAGAAUCCGUCAUCUAUUCAAUUAACUGAAACAAUAUUGCG